AUCAAUGGAGAUGGCGGAGAAUGGCGAUUUAAGUUCUGCAUUUAAAUGGGGCCAGCAGCAUACUGCUCGAUUUAUUCUAUUGAGGGGGGAGAACGAUGAGCUGUUCACCGGGAUGAAAUACUCAGCAAGUGUGGCUUGGGGGACAAUUCUGGAGAAAAUAGGCCAAAAAAAUGGGACAAUUUAAAAUAAAUAAAUAAAG